rnacentral:lncRNA from 1 species
UGUUUUUUUUUUUGUGUGUUAGUUUAAGAAGUUAAGAGGGCAAAAAGCUAGUAGUUAGGUGUUGGAAAUGUUAUAAAAAAUAUAUAUAGUUUUUUUGGCUAAAUUACAAAAAAAUUUCUUAUAAAUACCCAACUUUUCACAUUUCUGUUCUAAUUUUUAAAAACCAACAUUUUACCACUUUAACAUUUCAAGUUGUUACCGACCGUCCCUAGAGCAAGUGGCAAAGGGCUCGGUGGUUGGUACCCGAGACCCAAGUUCGAAUCCUAGUUGAUUCACAUUUCUAGCUAAGUUUAUUUCUAAAUGAAAUAGACGAAGCGGGUAGCGUGCUACCUGUCUCUCAAAAAAAAAAAAAAAAUUCAAGUUGUUGUAUUUAACCUCCCUUCGUCGGAGUUUCAUCACUACUCCGUCAAUUUCUUAUAAUUUAUAACUAAAAUGCCCUUUAAAAUUAUAGAAAUAUAUUAAAAAUUAUUUUUUUAUAAAAGAAGUAAAGGUAAUUUGGUCAUUUUGCUUUCUCCAUUAACGCCGUACCCCUUAAAAAUAUUUCUAAAAUUUUAAGGGGGCAAAAUAUCGGUUUUCAAUAGUCGGGGUGAAAAUAUAAUUUUUAUGGGAAGAUUUUCUAUAAUUUAGUCCUUUUUUUUUGUUAGAU